CGUGCCAAAGGAUGGGCCGGCGGCGGAUUAGCUUGUUGGUGGGGUAAUGGCCCACCAAGGCGAAGAUCCGUACGGGCCACGAAAGUGGUAGCCCGGAGAGGGACACUGAGAUACUGGUCCCAGCCCUACGGGGUGCAGCAGGCGCGAAACCUUUACAAUGCGCGAAAGCGUGAUAAGGGGAUACUCAGUGCUUACGCUUAUGGUGUAGGCUUUUGUGUACUUUAGAACGGUGCAUGAAUAAGUGGUGGGUAAGACUGGUGCCAGCCGCCGCGGUAACACCAGCGCCACAAGUGGUUGUCGCGAUUAUUGGGCCUAAAGCGUUCGUAGCCGGUUUGGUAACUCUCUUGUGAAAUCGUUCGGCUUAACCGAACGGCGUGCAGGGGACACUACCAGACUCGAGACCGGGAGGGGUCAGAGGUAUUCCGUGGGGACCGGUAAAAUGGGAUAAUCCACGGAGGACCACCGAUGGCGAAGGCGUCUGACCAGAACGGAUCUGACGGUGAGGAACGAAAGCCA
rnacentral:rRNA from 1 species